AGAAUCAACGCUGGCGGCGUGCCUAACACAUGCAAGUCGAACGCGAAAGGGGAGCAAUCCCUGAUUAGAGUGGCAAACGGGUGAGUAACACGUGGGUGACCUGCCUUCGAGUGGGGGAUAACCUUCCGAAAGGAGGGCUAAUACCGCAUGACAUACCGUGUUUGGAUACACGGAUAUCAAAGCCGGGAUCGCAAGACCUGGCGCUUGGAGAGGGGCCCGCGUCCGAUUAGCUAGUUGGUGAGGUAACGGCUCACCAAGGCUCCGAUCGGUA
rnacentral:rRNA from 1 species